GUUGUCUUGGGCUACACUCAUCACCCUGUGACAUACCUAAAACGUUGCUUCGGCGGGAACAGACGGCCCUGUAACAACGGGCCGCCCCCGCCAGAGGACCCCUAACUCUGUUUUUAUAAUGUUUUUCUGAGUAAACAAGCAAAUAAAUUAAAACUUUCAACAACGGAUCUCUUGGCUCUGGCAUCGAUGAAGAACGCAGCGAAAUGCGAUAAGUAAUGUGAAUUGCAGAAUUCAGUGAAUCAUCGAAUCUUUGAACGCACAUUGCGCCCGCCAGUAUUCUGGCGGGCAUGCCUGUUCGAGCGUCAUUACAACCCUCAGGCCCCCGGGCCUGGCGUUGGGGAUCGGCGGAAGCCCCCUGUGGGCACACGCCGUCCCUCAAAUACAGUGGCGGUCCCGCCGCAGCUUCCAUUGCGUAGUAGCUAACACCUCGCAACUGGAGAGCGGCGCGGCCAUGCCGUAAAACACCCAACUUCUGAAUGUUGACCUCGAAUCAGGUAGGAAUACCCGCUGAACUUAAGCAUAUCAAAACGGGGAAGGAA
rnacentral:rRNA from 1 species